GGAAGGUGUCCCUGCACUUGGCAGGGGAUUGGAACUGGGUGAGCUUUAAGGUCCCUUCUACCCCACACAAUCCUGUGAUUCUGUAAUUGAAGAGGAGGAAAG